AUUUUAGAAAACAAGAGGGGACCCUGUAAAGACACAUCAUUGGCCACAACGGGACAAGCGUAGUAAAGAUAUAUUGUGUACAGAUAUGGUGAAAAGCUGCCGUAUGUCAGUGCAAAUCGCUGCGUGCAUAAUGUGCUGUAGCCUUAUUUCCACAACGAUAGCACGGCCCUCAACGUAUAUACUCAAACAAAGGAUAGAGAAAAAAGAUCCUGAAUUAGCGGAACCAAAUAGAAGGACCACGUUGGACAAUUUAAUUGUGAUAAUUAAUCGAUUUUUCCAUGGCAAUCAAAGGCAUCCCUCCGAAAGCGAAAGGGAAAGUAUUGCUGAUAGCAUGUUCGACUUUUUCGACUUAGAUAACAAUAAUAUAAUAGACAGGAGCGAAUUCCGUGCAACCAUAUGGUUUAUUAACAAUGAUCGCAAGCGAAGGAAUGGACGUCCAUUUCCCGAGGUAGAAAGUCUUUCGAAAUAGCACUUUCAACAUGAAAGACAUGCCAUGAAAAUUUCUGCUGCGGGCGACUAGGUGCUGACAUCAAGUGGAAAUCAAGAGGAUUUUCCGUUAUUAUGGUGAUAUUUACAAGAACAUUACUGGUACAUGAAUUAUUCAACUAAACCAUGAACUCCGAACUCUUAAAACUCUUUCUACUGGCCCAUUUACAACGUCUAACCUUAUAUUGACGGGCCGGCCAUCAGAUAAACUUGCUUGGCCAUGUUAAUCGAGACAAGCAUGAAUGAAUGAAUGAAUGGAGU
rnacentral:misc_RNA from 1 species